rnacentral:rRNA from 1 species
GAUCAUGGCUCAGGAUGAACGCUAGCGACAGGCUUAACACAUGCAAGUCGAGGGGCAGCACGGGAGUAGCAAUACAACUGGUGGCGACCGGCGCACGGGUGAGUAACGCGUAUGCAACCUACCUAUCAGAGGGGAAUAACCCGGCGAAAGUCGGACUAAUACCGCAUAAAACAGGGGCACCGCAUGGUGAUAUUUGUUAAAGAGAUUCGCUGAUAGAUGGGCAUGCGUUCCAUUAGGUAGUUGGUGAGGUAACGGCUCACCAAGCCGACGAUGGAUAGGGAACUGAGAGGUUGGUCCCCCACACUGGUACUGAGACACGGACCAGACUCCUACGGGAGGCAGCAGUGAGGAAUAUUGGUCAAUGGGCGGGAGCCUGAACCAGCCAAGUCGCGUGAAGGAAGAAGGAUCUAUGGUUCGUAAACUUCUUUUGCAGGGGAAUAAAGUGCAGGACGUGUCCUGUUUUGUAUGUACCCUGAGAAUAAGGAUCGGCUAACUCCGUGCCAGCCGCCGC